rnacentral:rRNA from 1 species
UACGAACCGUGCGAACGUUAUUCGGAAUCAUUGGGCUUAAAGGGCGCGUAGGCGGCGGCGUAAGUUGGAAGUGAAAUCCCAUCGGCUCAACCGUGGAAUUGCUCCCAGUACUGCGUCGCUCGAGGGGGAUAGGGGUCUGCGGAACUACCGGUGGAGCGGUGAAAUGCGUAGAUAUCGGAAGGAACGCCGGUGGCGAAAGCGGCGGACUGGACCUCUUCUGACGCUGAGGCGCGAAAGCCAGGGGAGCAAACGGG